AGGCCCACAGCGCAGUGGGAGGCGGGUAGCUCAGAGCAGCCUCCGCCAGCUGCAGGAACGGCAGGUGGGCUGUUUGUUGUUAAUUUGAGCCCAGUCACCACCAGGAGUCCUCCUUAGUAGAUGUCUUUUUCUGGGGGUCCACAGCACCAAAUGCAAGGAACACCCUGCUAGGCCCUGUAGACACAUUUACUAUAGAUCCACUGUUUUAUAAUCUCUACCUCUUCUGCUUUUCCUCACUUUCUGCUUCUCCAGCCCUUCUCAGGCUCUCUCACCCCUCAGGCCUCUUCUCCCCUUUGUCUCCAUCACCUUCUCCUGAUUGUGGCACUAGCGCCACCACCUCACCUGCCACCCAGGGACUAUUCUCCACACAGGGGCCAGCAGUCCUGCUAAGGCCUUUGUGCCCAUACACUCCCCUUGAUCCGGGACAAAGCAAUUAAGGAGGUGACGCAGCGGUGGACAAUGUAUCCGUGAACAGGCGUGGUCAGUGAGGCCGGCCCAACCAGGAGUCAAGAUAUCAUCUUAUGGAGACAUCGCCAGACGACCAAGAACAAGAGCUGAUGCCUGCGGACCUCCAGGACUGCACGUAGCUGCGUUCCGUUCCCAGCCUCAGUUUACCUCAUUUCCAUGUAUAACCCUAUCCCUCAGGCUGCGGUAUAGCACUCCCAUUUCGGCCUUGACCGCCGCUACUUUAGGAUAAGCAAGAGCAACAACAUUUAUUAUGUAGAAACAACGGCCUCUUCCCCACAGCCCGCAGAACUCCAGAGGCCAGCUGACCGAAGGAGGUCGACUAACGCGGGUCUCAGCUUCUGCCUGUCGGGUCGCUGCCGUGCCUGCUCCCCCAACCGAGAAUGUGGGUUUUGCCGUUAUAUUCUCCCUGCAAAGACUGCUCGGGGCUGCGAGUCUGUUCAGGGCAGGAGCCCACUCAUAGCCGCUGGCUAAUGAAAAACUCCAAACAAUUCGGUCUCUGUGUGAAUUAGUCUCGUGUAACUUGGGUAUAACAUUUGGAGGCCCCAGCGAGAUCUAAUUCUAAAAUUUCUCCAAGCCACCGGGCCUCUGCGAGCUGGCCCGCUGGGGAACUUCUUGUCUGGGGGUGGGGUACCCCCUGAUGAUGCGCCAGGGCCCCGCAACGAGGAUUUUUCCCUUGCGACUAGAGAGCAGACGCCCCAUGGCUAUAUAUUAGUUUGGAGCCCCUCAGGACACAUCCGGAGCACCGCACAGGCCACUCCGAUCGUCCCUGCAAGCUCGCGUCAGGGAGGGAGCUGUGUGACCUGAAAGUCUUGAGUACCCAGGAAAGAAAGAGCCAUGUGAAUAUAUGUAAUAAACUUGUAGCAUAUGUAGAGUUUGGGCAUUCAUCUUACAAUAACAGAGUAUUUUAGUAUGAAUUUGCUGAAU